CCGCGGCGUCGCCGGUGGUGGCGAUGCCGGCCUCGAUGCCGUCGAGGAGCCAGGUCAGGCCGAGGGCGAACCCGGUGUCCCAGUCGCCGUCCGUGGC
rnacentral:tRNA from 1 species